UCAGACAUGGUGCAGGGAACACUGCCUCGAAACAUAAUAACGACGCUUGUCGUCCGAGGCGGUCCCGGGUUCGAGUCCCGGUGUCUGAA